rnacentral:misc_RNA from 1 species
CUUCUUCACUCAUUUCCACAUUCGUCCACCAUUACUCUCCAUUUUCUCGCUCUCCAAGCAGAAAACCACCGUUUCCUCUCUCAAAACUUAAAUGCCUUUCUCUCCUCCAUAGAAACCAAAACCAUAACAAUAACAAUAUCAAUUCUGGCAUCCUCCGUUUGUUGAAUCAAUUCCACGAUUCUUUCUCUUUAAACCCACACAAUCUCUUAUUCACUGAAAGCCCCUCUUCUUCCUC